rnacentral:rRNA from 1 species
GACGAACGCUGGCGGCGUGCCUAAUACAUGCAAGUCGAACGCAUUUUCUUUCACCGUAGCUUGCUACACCGAAAGAAAAUGAGUGGCGAACGGGUGAGUAACACGUGGGUAACCUGCCCAUCAGCGGGGGAUAACACUUGGAAACAGGUGCUAAUACCGCAUAAUUCCAUUUACCGCAUGGUAGAUGGGUGAAAGGCGCUUUUGCGUCACUGAUGGAUGGACCCGCGGUGCAUUAGCUAGUUGGUGGGGUAACGGCCUACCAAGGCUGCGAUGCAUAGCCGACCUGAGAGGGUGAUCGGCCACACUGGGACUGAGACACGGCCCAGACUCCUACGGGAGGCAGCAGUAGGGAAUCUUCGGCAAUGGAAGCAAGUCUGACCGAGCAACGCCGCGUGAGUGAAGAAGGUUGUCGGAUCGUAAAACUCUGUUGUUAGAGAAGAACAAGGAUGAGAGUGGAAAGUUCAUCCCUUGACGGUAUCUAACCAGAAAGCCACGGCUAACUACGUG